UACGUAGGGUGCAGGCGUUAAUCGGAAUUACUGGGCGUAAAGCGCGCGUAGGCGGCUUUGUAAGUUAGAGGUGAAAGCCCGGGGCUCAACCCCGGAACUGCCUUUAAGACUGCAUCGCUUGAAUCCGGGAGAGGUGAGUGGAAUUCCGAGUGUAGAGGUGAAAUUCGUAGAUAUUCGGAAGAACACCAGUGGCGAAGGCGGCUCACUGGACCGGCAUUGACGCUGAGGUGCGAAAGCGUGGGGAGCAAACAGG
rnacentral:rRNA from 1 species